AACGGUGUGUGAAGAACGCUGAGGGGUUAAAGCACUUUCAAUAGGAAGGAAUACCUAUCGGCUAAUACCCAGUAGACUGACAUUACCUAUACAAGAAGCACCGGCUAACUCCGUGCCAGCAGCCGCGGUAAUACUGGAGGGUGCAAGCGUUAAUCGGAAUUACUGGGCGUAAAGCUUGCGUAGGCGGUUAUAUAAGUCAGAUGUGAAAGCCCUGGGCUUAACCUGGGAACUGCAUUUGAUACUGGGUAACUAGAGUAUAGUAGAGGGGAGUGGAAUUUCAGGUGUAGCGGUGAAAUGCGCAGAGAUCUGAAGGAACACCAGUGGCGAAAGCGGCUCCCUGGACUAAAACUGACGCUGAGGUACGAAAGCGUGGGUAGCAAACAGGAUUAGAUACCCUGGUAGUCCACGCCGUAAACGAUGUCAACUAACUGUUGGGUUCUUUAAGAACUUAGUAGUGGAGCUAACGUAUUAAGUUGACCGACUGGGGAGUACGGCCGCAGUGGCUAAAACUCAAAUGAAUUGACGGGGGCCCGCACAAGCGGUGGAGCAUGUGGUAUAAUUCGAUGCAACGC
rnacentral:rRNA from 1 species